rnacentral:sRNA from 1 species
CUAGACCUGCGCAGGCCGAUGCGGACCGUGCCCGGCCCACUGUUCACCGACUUUGGUAAGUCGUGGCCUUGGUCCCGCGGUCGACUCCCGGAGCUGGCAGCCUAGGCCAGCCCGGAUGGGGAGCUGGCAUAGGGGUUGGGGUGGAGAGAAGUUUUUCCACGGGUAACGGACCUUCCGCUUUGAGAAACCCUUCUUCGAACAGGGAUUUGGAUUGGGUAACUUUUCGCAAAAAGGAAACGAGAAACAGAAAGGAAUGGGCGGUUCAGAGGGCUUUUAACAUUUAGCUGUAGUUUGUGCCAUUCCGGCAUGCCAGAACAAAAUGGCGUCCAGUCGACUUAGCAGUGCUUCCUCCUCCGGGGGAGGCUUCGAGGAGCCGACUCCUACUGCGCUUGCGCACCUCUUCCCGCCAUUUCCUUGGGCUGGAGGCUCCUCCUCCAGAAUAACAGAAUUUUCCUGCCGCACGUUAGCGCAAGGACGCCUGCGCACUCUUCCCUCCCGGUUCGCGGUCGGGAGGCUCCUCCCCUCAGCUCCGCCCUGGCCCAGUGCGCCUGCGCACCUCUUCCCUCCGUUUCCCCACGUGCAGUGCGCCCUCUGAACAUCAACCCGGACCGUGCACUGGGCCCUGAGUACCCUGGCGGCUCCAGCAUGCACCCCUACUGCCCGUUCCCGCUGGGCUACCUGGACGCCCCUCCUGGCGUCCCCCUGCAGCAGGGCUUCCGGCAUGUGUCCCGCAACCAGUACCAAGGCGGAGGCUUGGCGUCAGAACCAGGAGGAGACUUCCAGCCAAGCUACUACCUGC